rnacentral:lncRNA from 1 species
UGUUGCCCUGGGAACAAUUUAUAUACUCGUUCGAAGGCUGUACAACGUACAAUGUUAUACCUUCGACAUCGAUUUCUCUGGAAGAACUGUAACGUCAAUGUGCCGUAAAUGAACCGAAUGAUAUUGCAUUUUACAACACGUUUUAAUCGCGGACGAGUACGCAUGUCGGAUAUUAGUAGUGGCUCGUCAUGAAUUUUUCAAUACCAUUCGUAUGCUUGUAGGCGUGAUGGACGGACCUUUCACGGGUUGUCGUCCACUCCCACAUCCCGAUCUAUGAAAUUAGCUUGCAAAUAUUGACAGAACGAGACUCGUACGAAAUUCAAAAUUCUCGUAACGAUUGAGUGAAGGAGUAAUGUAACCGCGUAUAUUCAUAAUUUAAACCGCGUAAUCAAUACUACCGCGAAAACAGAAAUCGUACAAUAACGCUCACCUCAACUCGGGUGACGCGAAACGUGAAUAAGAUCGGUAUUCGAGUAUCGGGAAAGACCGAUGAUGGCGGAAAUCGCAUUGAAACCGUUGGCCACGGUACUAAAAACGUUCCAUUCAAGUGUUGAAAUCCUUCAAUCUCAACGGUUAAGCCCGCCUGCCUGUAAACACGACUACAUCAAAGCGGACAUCCAGCUUUCAGAGCGUUCGACUCAAUUUUCGCACAGUCAUGCGAGUCGAGCGUUAUGUAAGUUUGCACAACACCAUUAUUGCUGUACAGGUGUGCCGACACCCACUCGCAAGUUACUCAUAGCGGACCAAUUUCCGGGAAAAUCACCUUGUAGUUGAUUACUUAAUUUCGGGCAGAAUGCUGAUCGGAUAAGACUGCACAUUUUCUUCCUCGUGUGCGAAAAAUAUGGCCAAAAAUAAGCACGGUGUAUUGGAAAUAUUUCACCAUUUUCUAUUAACUCGCAGCAGCGAAUUACGACUCGAAAUGCGUUAUGCUCAACAAUUGGCCCGUUCAUCGCAUGUUCUUCUACGGCUAACUAUAAAUCAUGCUGUUACACAACAAACGUCAUAAGUUUGCUGCGCACGAAAUGACAAAUCACUUUUGUGACUAUUAACCGUGACUCCGGCGUACUCAGUCAAAUAUUUCACAGGAAAAAAGUUUAAAAGUGCCACUUGGUAAGGAUUUUUCAUGAUUUCGGAAUAACGUAUUUGAGCAAGACCGCAGAGAAGAUGGUGCCCAAAUAUUGCGACUUUCAAUUGCUGUAUGA